rnacentral:rRNA from 1 species
GACGAACGCUGGCGGCGUGCCUAAUACAUGCAAGUUGAGCGCUGAAGGUUGGUACUUGUACCAACUGGAUGAGCAGCGCACGGGUGAGUAACGCGUGGGGAAUCUGCCUUUGAGCGGGGGACAACAUCUGGAAACGAAUGCUAAUACCGCAUAAAAACUUUAAACACAAGUUUUAAGUUUGAAAGAUGCAAUUACAUCACUCAAAGAUGAUCCCGCGUUGUAUUAGCUAGUUGGUGAGGUAAAGGCUCACCAAGGCGAUGAUACAUAGCCGACCUGAGAGGGUGAUCGGCCACAUUGGGACUGAGACACGGCCCAAACUCCUACGGGAGGCAGCAGUAGGGAAGCUUCGGCAAUGGACGAAAGUCUGAACGAGCAACGCCGCGGGAGUGAAGAAGGGUUUCGGAUCGUAAAACUCUGUUGGUAGAGAAGAACGUUGGUGAGAGUGGAAAGCUCAUCAAGUGACGGUAACUACCCAGAAAGGGACGGCUAACUACGUG